rnacentral:rRNA from 1 species
AGGAGUGGAGCCUGCGGCUUAAUUUGACUCAACACGGGACAACUUACCAGGUCCGGACACCGGAAGGAUUGACAGAUUGAGAGCUCUUUCUUGAUUCGGUGGGUGGUGGUGCAUGGCCGUUCUUAGUUGGUGGAGUGAUUUGUCUGGUUAAUUCCGAUAACGAACGAGACUCUAGCCUGCUAACUAGGCGUAACUUACCGGUAUCCUGAAGGCUUGUGUCUCUCGUGACCUGGCGUACUUUGGCUGUACUGUUAUAUUGCUUAGGUGAUGUGCAAUACACUGGGUACGUUCAGUGCGGGAGUUCACAGUUUUUACUACCGGCGUACAUAUAAAUCUUCUUAGAGGGACAGGCGGCUCCUAGCCGCACGAGAUUGAGCAAUAACAGGUCUGUGAUGCCCUUAGAUGUUCUGGGCCG